AGCGACACUGUGUGUUGUUGGGUAGGGGAGCGUUCUGUAAGCCUGUGAAGGUGUGUCGUGAGGCAUGCUGGAGGUAUCAGAAGUGCGAAUGCUGACAUAAGUAACGAUAAAGCGGGUGAAAAGCCCGCUCGCCGGAAGACCAAGGGUUCCUGUCCAACGUUAAUCGGGGCAGGGUGAGUCGACCCCUAAGGCGAGGCCGAAAGGCGUAGUCGAUGGGAAACGGGUUAAUAUUCCCGUACUUGGUGUUACUGCGAAGGGGGGACGGAGAAGGCUAUGUUGGCCGGGCGACGGUUGUCCCGGUUUAAGCGUGUAGGUGUGUGUUCCAGGUAAAUCCGGUUCACUUUAACACUGAGGCGUGACGACGAGGCACUACGGUGCUGAAGCAACAAAUGCCCUGCUUCCAGGAAAAGCCUCUAAGCAUCAGGUAACAUCAAAUCGUACCCCAAACCGACACAGGUGGUCAGGUAGAGAAUACCAAGGCGCUUGAGAGAACUCGGGUGAAGGAACUAGGCAAAAUGGUGCCGUAACUUCGGGAGAAGGCACGCUGACACGUAGGUGAAGUGAUUUACUCAUGGAGCUGAAGUCAGUCGAAGAUACCAGCUGGCUGCAACUGUUUAUUAAAAACACAGCACUGUGCAAACACGAAAGUGGACGUAUACGGUGUGACGCCUGCCCGGUGCCGGAAGGUUAAUUGAUGGGGUCAGCGCAAGCGAAGCUCCUGAUCGAAGCCCCGGUAAACGGCGGCCGUAACUAUAACGGUCCUAAGGUAGCGAAAUUCCUUGUCGGGUAAGUUCCGACCUGCACGAAUGGCGUAAUGAUGGCCAGGCUGUCUCCACCCGAGACUCAGUGAAAUUGAACUCGCUGUGAAGAUGCAGUGUACCCGCGGCAAGACGGAAAGACCCCGUGAACCUUUACUAUAGCUUGACACUGAACAUUGAGCCUUGAUGUGUAG
rnacentral:rRNA from 1 species